AUUGAACGCUGGCGGCAUGCUUUACACAUGCAAGCCGAACGGCAGCACGGACUUCGGUCUGGUGGCGAGUGGCGAACGGGUGAGUAAUACAUCGGAACGUGCCCAGUUGUGGGGGAUAACUACUCGAAAGAGUAGCUAAUACCGCAUGAGAACUGAGGUUGAAAGCAGGGGAUCGUAAGACCUUGCGCAACUGGAGCGGCCGAUGGCAGAUUAGGUAGUUGGUGGGAUAAAAGCUUACCAAGCCGACGAUCUGUAGCUGGUCUGAGAGGACGACCAGCCACACUGGGACUGAGAUACGGCCCAGACUCCUACGGGAGGCAGCAGUGGGGAAUUUUGGACAAUGGGCGAAAGCCUGAUCCAGCAAUGCCGCGUGCAGGAUGAAGGCCUUCGGGUUGUAAACUGCUUUUGUACGGAACGAAAAGCUUCGGGCUAAUACCCUGGAGUCAUGACGGUACCGUAAGAAUAAGCACCGGCUAACUACGUGCCAGCAGCCGCAGUAAGAC
rnacentral:rRNA from 1 species